rnacentral:lncRNA from 1 species
AUUAACACAAUGAUGCCGACAAUAAAAAACUUAAAAAUCUCCCCCUUUGGCAUCCUUGUAGUCAAAACAUAAACUAACCAAUUUUCUAUCUUCAAGAAGCAUGUGCAAAAGCAAGCUAGAUCAUCUUCUCAAAAAAAAAAAAAAGCAAGCUAGAUCAUGAGCAAUAACCUACACGUAGGCGACAAGAACAAACAAAGAACUAACAAAAACAAAA